UGAAGAUAGGGGAGUGGUUAGAAUACUUGCUCUACAGAGUGUGGGGACCUCAGUGUGAAGAAGCCCCAGAACCCAUGGGAAGGCUGGACACCCCAGCGCACACCUGUGAUAUCAGAACUCUCUGGAAGCAGGAAAGGCGGUGGACACAGGGAAAACACCUGGGACUCAUGGGCCAGGUAACCUGGCCUAUGUGGUGUCAAAUCCUGCACCCUGCUUCAAACAAGGUAGAAGGAACUACGAUUCUCUAACAAAACAUCCCUUCAAAAGUGGGGAAGAAAUUAAGAAACUCCCAGAGAUGAACAACGAGUUAAGGGAUUUCAGGAGAAGAGCAGGCGGCACCCUGGGGCUUGGGAAGCUUUUCUCUAAUGGAGUUGAUGACAAAGCCCAUGGGAAAAAGGGAAGACAGCAUCCGACAGUGAUCUGAACAGCGAACGAACUGGCUGACAGGAGAUGUUUACCAGUUCCUAAUAACAGCUUACCAGAUGUCGAUUAAAGCAACACAUUGCAGUCUGGAGGUGGGAACAAACUGGAAUCCAGCCGUCGGCUGUUGAGCCACACAAUGAAAAUACUGUAAAAUGUAAAACAGUGCCCUCUUUUCGCUGAUUUCUAACAGUGUAAUUUUUCAUGUGAUGGAGUUAUUAUUUUGUAAUAUAGUAA